AAUGCAAUCAACAGUCAGGGAGUGGUGGUUGUCAGCCAGAGAGUGAGGAAGCAUCUACUGAGAACCUGGUUAAACUCCACAAAAGCGGGAAUCACUUCUAUGCCUGGGUUCUCCUGGAGUUUUAAUUGUCAGUCUUCUCCACACGGAGUUUCCAGUAAUUUGUCAAUUACAGUUUAGGUGUUCCCACCACAGCACUGGUUUCCAUGGUGUUUUCACUCCUGGGCCUCUGUUCAGCUUACUUAAGCCAAAAUCCAUGAGAGCCCUUGGUCAGGGAAUAAAGCCAGUCUACUGACACAAGGUUGUCAUAAAGGAAAGUGCAGUGUUAUUGCAGGUGUCAGACAAGGCAUGUAGAGCAG
ensembl:lncRNA